AACAGCACCAGUGAGUGGGGCCGACUGACUCAUCUACCACCCAGAACACAUCUGGUAACAGCAGACCUGGUCUGAUUGUACUUCAGCUCCAACAGAUCCAGGAUCUCCUGGUUUUCCUUCACCCUGCAGCAGAAGGUAGACUAGGGUCAGGAACUCCUGAUCUCAUCUAUUUGCAGAAGGCUGUCCAGUUGGGGUGGAUUUGGGUGAGAACAAAUCAGGAUAGGCCUUAGAAGAGAGAAUAAUCAAGGUGUCAUCGAAGUCUAACAACAAUAACAACAAAAACACAGGCCCAUUAUGGCAAUCCAACAGCAG
rnacentral:lncRNA from 1 species